UGGGGAAUUUUGGGCAAUGGGCGCAAGCCUGACCCAGCAACGCCGCGUGAGCGAUGAAGUCCUUCGGGAUGUAAAGCUCGUAAGUAUGGGAAGAAUAAUAAGGUGCUAACACCAUCUUAGAUGACGGUACCAUACGUAAGCCCCGGCUAACUCCGUGCCAGCAGCCGCGGUAAUACGGGGGGGGCAAGCGUUGUUCGGAAUUACUGGGCGUAAAGGGCGCGUAGGCGGCACGGAUAGUUGGGUGUGAAAGCCCGGAGCUUAACUCCGGAAUGUCACUCAAUACUUCCGAGCUAGAGUGUGGAAGGGGCAAUCGGAAUUCUUGGUGUAGCGGUGAAAUGCGUAGAUAUCAGGAAGAACACCUGUGGCGAAGGCGGAUUGCUGGGCUAACACUGACGCUGAGGCGCGAAAGCUAGGGGAGCGAACG
rnacentral:rRNA from 1 species